rnacentral:rRNA from 1 species
GGGCCCGCACAAGCGGUGGAGCAUGUGGUUUAAUUCGACGCAACGCGAAGAACCUUACCUGGUCUUGACAUCCUGCGAACUUUCUAGAGAUAGAUUGGUGCCUUCGGGAACGCAGUGACAGGUGCUGCAUGGCUGUCGUCAGCUCGUGUUGUGAAAUGUUGGGUUAAGUCCCGCAACGAGCGCAACCCUUAUCCUUGUUUGCCAGCGAGUAAUGUCGGGAACUCCAGGGAGACUGCCGGUGAUAAACCGGAGGAAGGUGGGGACGACGUCAAGUCAUCAUGGCCCUUACGAGUAGGGCUACACACGUGCUACAAUGGUCGGUACAGAAAGCAGCCACUAUGCGAAUAGGAGCUAAUCUUUAAAACCGAUCUCAGUUCGGAUCGCAGUCUGCAACUCGACUGCGUGAAGCUGGAAUCGCUAGUAAUCG